UACGUAGGAGGCAAGCGUUGUCCGGAAUUACUGGGCGUAAAGCGCGUGUAGGUGGUGGGACAAGUCUGCUGUGAAAGCGCCUGGCUUAACCGGGCGAGGUCGGCGGAAACUGUCCGACUCGAGGACGGUAGAGGGGGGUGGAAUUCCCGGGUGUAGUGGUGAAAUGCGUAGAGAUCGGGAGGAACACCUGAGGUGAAGACGGGUUGCUGGGCUGACACUGACGCUGAUGCGCGAAAGCCAGGGGAGCAAACGGG
rnacentral:rRNA from 1 species